UACGGAGGGAGCUAGCGUUGUUCGGAAUUACUGGGCGUAAAAGCGCACGUAGGCGGCUUUGUAAGUUAGAGGUGAAAGCCCGGGGGCUCAACCCCCGGAAUUGCCUUUAAGACUGCAUCGCUUGAAUCCGGGAGAGGUGAGUGGAAUUCCGAGUGUAGAGGUGAAAAUUCGUAGAUAUUCGGAAGAACACCAGUGGCGAAGGCGGCUCACUGGACCAUUACUGACGCUUGAUGCUCGAAAGCUAGGGGAGCAAACAGG
rnacentral:rRNA from 1 species